rnacentral:hammerhead_ribozyme from 1 species
AUCUAGCCGACGAGUCCCGAAACAGGACGAAAUGAGCAUCACGGUGGAU